GAAGGAAUGUGUGACCAUUUCCAACGGUCAGUCACCACGAACAGGAGCACUCAGCAUGCUGCCCCAGCACUGGAGAAGCAGCGCUGUGGAGGCAAUCUGUCACACUGUCAGAGUCUGGGACUUGACUUGCUACCAACUGCUGUGCAAUUCUGCUGAGCAGGAAUAUCAUGAGCUGUUCAAUAAUGACGGACGCAUUGGUUGAGAUGAAGUUUCCAGUAAGGAAGUGACAGUGCAAUGUGGAUAUUUAUGGCCGUAAAACAGGAAGAGCUUUAGUUCCCAGGCUGAACCUGCCACUGCUGGAGCCAUUUCAACAAGGCAUCCUCACAACAAAGAAGAGAUGUGAUUUGGUACCAUUUCACAUCAGCAGGUGUCUGGACGAAAACAUCAAUGUGAAUAAGGGCCAAGUGCAGUCCUGUCU
rnacentral:lncRNA from 1 species